rnacentral:lncRNA from 1 species
AAGGUAGUAGCCUGGUGGUAAGGGGGCGAUAAUUCCGCCCAAGUUGCCCGGGUUCGAAACGCACGGGCGUCGAUUAAAUUAGGGGACCGGAUGCCCCACGCUCGGCUGGCUUGUUGGCGGUUAUGCUUUCCUUCCACUUGUACCAAGGUGGCACUAGGGUGACGUACCCACACGUGAGGCGGUGAACCCAGUGGGGUGAGCCCACGGGUCGGAGAAGGCACGCGAAAACCUGCGACCUGUAUCGAACAUUCCCUAGUGGAAAGGGGGCUCAGUAAUGGGGCUGCUACGCGGGUGGGCUGGUCCCUCCCCCUCC